rnacentral:rRNA from 1 species
CUGGGCUCGAACGGCUGGUUAACGGGGGUGGAAACACCUCUACUCCGCAAGGAGGUCCAGUCGAGGUGCUGCAUGGCUGUCGUCAGCUCGUGUCGUGAGAUGUUGGGUUAAGUCCCGCAACGAGCGCAACCCUUGUCCUGUGUUGCCAUUCCGCAAGGAGGAACUCGCAGGAGACCGCCAGCGAUAAGCUGGAGGAAGGUGGGGAUGACGUCAAGUCCUCAUGGCCUUUAUGUCCAGGGCUACACACGUGCUACAAUGGCCGGUACAAAGCGCUGCAAAGCCGCGAGGUGGAGCCAAUCGCAAAAAACCGGUCUCAGUUCGGAUUGCAGGCUGCAACUCGCCUGCAUGAAGCUGGAAUCGCUAGUAAUGGCGUAUCAGAACGAUGCCGUGAAUACGUUCCC